rnacentral:rRNA from 1 species
GAUGAACGCUGGCGGCGUGCCUAAUACAUGCAAGUCGAGCGAACAGAUAAGGAGCUUGCUCCUUUGAAGUUAGCGGCGGACGGGUGAGUAACACGUGGGUAACCUACCUAUAAGACUGGGAUAACUUCGGGAAACCGGAGCUAAUACCGGAUAACAUUUAGAACCGCAUGGUUCUAAAGUGAAAGAUGGUUUUGCUAUCACUUAUAGAUGGACCCGCGCCGUAUUAGCUAGUUGGUAAGGUAACGGCUUACCAAGGCGACGAUACGUAGCCGACCUGAGAGGGGGAGCGGCAACACGGGAAAUGAGACAGGGCCCAGCCCCCGACGGGAGGAACCAGGAGGGAAUCUUCCGCAAGGGGCGAAGGCCGGACGGAGCAACGCCGCGGGAGGGAGGAGGGGUUUCGGAUCGUAAAACUUUGUUAUGAGGGAAGAAAAAAGGUGUAAGUAACUGUGCACAUCUGGACGGGACCUAAUAAGAAAGCCACGGCUAAUUACGUG